rnacentral:rRNA from 1 species
UGGGGAAUUUUGGACAAUGGGGGAAACCCUGAUCCAGCCAUCCCGCGUGCGCGAUGAAGGCCUUCGGGUUGUAAAGCACUUUUGGCAGGAAAGAAACGUCGCGGGUUAAUACCCCGCGAAACUGACGGUACCUGCAGAAUAAGCACCGGCUAACUACGUGCCAGCAGCCGCGGUAAUACGUAGGGUGCAAGCGUUAAUCGGAAUUACUGGGCGUAAAGCGUGCGCAGGCGGUUCGGAAAGAAAGAUGUGAAAUCCCAGAGCUUAACUUUUGGAACUGCAUUUUUAACUACCGGGCUAGAGUGUGUCAGAGGGAGGUGGAAUUCCGCGUGUAGCAGUGAAAUGCGUAGAUAUGCGGAGGAACACCGAUGGCGAAGGCAGCCUCCUGGGAUAACACUGACGCUCAUGCACGAAAGCGUGGGGAGCAAACAGGAUUAGAUACCCUGGUAGUCCACGCCCUAAACGAUGUCAACUAGCUGUUGGGGCCUUCGGGCCUUGGUAGCGCAGCUAACGCGUGAAGUUGACCGCCUGGGGAGUACGGUCGCAAGAUUAAAACUUAAAUGAAUUGACGGGGGUCAUAGCUGUUUCCUG